CAUGAAUGGUUUGGUAUUGGAAGUAGGAUCAUUGUCACAAGUAGAAACAAGGUCAUAUUAAUUGCUCAAAAACCAGAUGGGAUUUAUGAGCCCAAGGACAUGGGGGGAUCAUGAAUGGUUUGGUAUUGGAAGUAGGAUCAUUGUCACAAGUAGAAACAAGGUCAUAUUAAUUGCUCAAAAACCAGAUGGGAUUUAUGAGCCCAAGGACAUGGGCUUAUAUAAAUCUCUUCGACUUUUUAGCCGUCAUGAUUUUAGAGAUUGGACCAACCUCCAUAAGCUUAUUUGGAACAGUCAAAAGCUAUAGUAGAAAUUAACUAUUGGAGGACUACCCUUGGCUCUUCAAGUUGUAGGUUCAUCUUUAUUUUGCGUGGAAAAGCAAGAAUGGCAAUACACAUUGGAGAAGUUGCAAGAUGCUCCUAAUAAUGAGGUCUUGCAAAGAUUGAGAAUAAGUUAUGAAAGACUAGAUUAUGAGGAGAAACAGAUAUUUCUUGAUACUGCAUGUUUUUUUAUUAGAACGCCUAAACAUGAUGCAUGUUACAUAUAUGGGAAGGAUGUAAAUUUUAUCCUAAAGUAGGACUUGAUGUUCUUUAGCUAAGGUCUUUGAUAACAAUUGAUGAACAUGGAUAUUUGAGGAUGCAUGAUCAGCUCCGGGAUCUUGGAAGGGAAAUCGUUCGUAAAGAAAUUUUUAAUGAGCCAUGGGAACGUAGUAGGAUAUGGUCUCAAAGGGAAGCAUUGGAAGUAUUGGCUAUCAAGAUGGGAAAAAGAAAAAUUGAAGCACUCAGUAUUAGCUUUGAAGGUAGAGCAAGGAGCAAAUAUUUGGAGAAUGAAGAAUUUGCUGAAAUGACUAAACUAAGGUUACUUCAAGUCGAUUAUGCACGUUUUACU